rnacentral:rRNA from 1 species
UACGUAGGGUGCGAGCGUUGUCCGGAAUUAUUGGGCGUAAAGGGCUCGUAGGCGGUCUGUCACGUCGGGAGUGAAAACACGGGGCUUAACCCCGUGCCUGCUUCCGAUACGGGCAGACUAGAGGUAUGCAGGGGAGAACGGAAUUCCUGGUGUAGCGGUGAAAUGCGCAGAUAUCAGGAGGAACACCGGUGGCGAAGGCGGUUCUCUGGGCAUUACCUGACGCUGAGGAGCGAAAGCUAGGGGAGCGAACGGG